rnacentral:sRNA from 1 species
GCAAUAGUACGGGAAAACUCAAGGGUGGGUCGGCAUUGUACCCCUUUAUAUGCAGAAAGGGGGUGAUGCCGAUGACAGUGUUUGAAGCGUUAAUGUUUGCGAUAGCUUUCGCAAGUCUCAUCGUUUCAAUACUGUCUUACAACCAAAAGAAAUAAUCCACCCUUGAGUUGUCGGAGCUACGGGUGGAUUAUUUCUGCCCUACUGCCGAUCCCCCUUGCAGGGAACCGUUCUAUUGCAGGACCAAGGGUGUUGCAGCACCCUUG